rnacentral:rRNA from 1 species
GAUGAACGCUGGCGGCGUGCCUAAUACAUGCAAGUCGAGCGAACAGACGAGGAGCUUGCUCCUCUGACGUUAGCGGCGGACGGGUGAGUAACACGUGGAUAACCUACCUAUAAGACUGGGAUAACUUCGGGAAACCGGAUCUAAUACCGGAUAAUAUAUUGAACCGCAUGGUUCAAUAGUGAAAGACGGUUUUGCUGUCACUUAUAGAUGGAUCCGCGCCGCAUUAGCUAGUUGGUAAGGUAACGGCUUACCAAGGCAACGAUGCGUAGCCGACCUGAGAGGGUGAUCGGCCACACUGGAACUGAGACACGGUCCAGACUCCUACGGGAGGCAGCAGUAGGGAAUAUUCCGCAAUGGGCGAAAGCUUGACGGAGCAACGCCGCGUGAGUGAUGAAGGUCUUCGGAUCGUAAAACUCUGUUAUUAGGGAAGAACAAAUGUGUAAGUAACUAUGCACGUCUUGACGGUACCUAAUCAGAAAGCCACGGCUAACUACGUG